AAAAUAUGAUGAGGGAAUUUCCUAAGCAUUUUCUUAAAUCACUCCCAACUUUCAUAAAUUGAUUCUCCCUUAAAUUGGGAAAAAGUUGUGAUAUUAUUUUUGAGUUU